rnacentral:rRNA from 1 species
ACUCAAAGGAAUAGACGGGGAAACGCACAACCAGCGUCCCAUGUGGUUUAAUUCGAGACGAAACGAAGAACCUUACCCAGGUUUGACAUGUAUCUGCGCGCCUUAGGAAACUAGGGAAGCCUUCGAGGGAGAUACACAGCUGCUGCAUGGUUGUCGUCAGUUCGUGUCGUGAGGCGUCUGUUUAAGUACAGUAACGAACGCAACCCCUGCUGUAUGUUGCAUUUUCAUACAGGACUGCCCUGGUUAUACCAGGGAGGAAGGAGGGGACGACGUCAAAUCAGCAUGGCGCUUACACCUGGGGCGACACACAUGGGGUAAUGGAGGGUACAACGGGUUGCUAAACUGCAAAGUGGAGCUAAUCCUAAUAAAGCCCUCCUCAGUACGGAUCGUGGUCUGCAACUCGACCACGUGAAGGGGAGUUGGUAGUAAUCGCGGGUCAGCCAUACCGCGGUGAAUACGUUCUCGUUUCUUGCACACACCGCCCGU